UACGGAGGAUGCAAGCGUUAUCCGGAAUCAUUGGGCGUAAAGGGUCCUGAGGUGGUUUGCUAAGUCUACUGUGAAAGAUCAGGGCUCAACCCUGAAAAUGCGGUGGAAACUGGCAGGCUAGAAUACGGUAGGGGCAGGGGGAAUUCCCGGUGUAGCGGUGAAAUGCAUAGAUAUCGGGAAGAACACCAAAGGCGAAGGCACCCUGCUGGGCCGAUAUUGACACUGACAGACGAAAGCUAGGGGAGCAAACCGGAUUAGAGUACCC
rnacentral:rRNA from 1 species